rnacentral:misc_RNA from 1 species
UAAAAUUGUAAUUUAAUUUUAUUUAAUUAAAUUAUUAAUCGCUUCAAAAUUAAUUCAUUGAAAUAUAAUUUAACUGACACUAAUAAAUAUUUAUUGAUCAAUCUUAUCAAUUAAUGGAUAGUUAAUGAAGCACACUAAGAACUUGUGAAAGAAGAAAUAUACUGAGCUGAUCUGCAUAGUGAAGGACAUUUUGGUUUGCAUUGUUAAUGAGGUUGCAACAAUCGGGGCAUUUAAAAAUAUACUCGAUCAUUGCGUGUUAAAGCCUUGAAAUAAGGCUAUAAUGUGAAUAAUUGUUCUGUUCUCAUCUUUAUGACAACGUACGUAGACAAUAGAACCUCUUUUUGCAGCAUGGUGAAGUGGAGUUAAUUUUUUUGUCCAAGAGCAUAUAUAGUGCCAUUGAAAGAAAGUAAACAAGACUAAUUUUCCAAUUUACUUGUAAUUGAGCAUGGAUAAUUAAGCAGUAAAAAUGGAAGAAUUAUUUUUUAAAAAAUAAUUGUAAUAGUGGGGGAGAAAUAGCUCUUAUUCUCUCCAUUAUGAGAAAAAAAAGUAAUGUUUGAAUAGAUAAUUACUUCAUUUAUUUUUACCUUUUUCAAAAUCAUUAAGCUCUCAUGUAAGAAAUACUCUUGCCCAUCUACUCUUUCUUUUCUGUCCCCUCUUAUCUAGCCAUCCAUUCAAACCAAGUGUAUGCCUUUGAACAUCAGUAAUCCAAAAGUAUUACAUUUAAGUCUGUAAAUAUAUAAAUAACAUUCAUAAAACAUAUUCUUCAGCUCACAAUACACGUUAUGUACAUUCAGAAAGGGACAUAUUGAACAGACUAAGCGUACCUUCUAACCAAGCAUUCUAUAAGCCAAUCACGCAGCUCGCAGGGCAUUUAGACCAAGCAAUAGCCUCCAAAACUUAGCCAUAAGCUUCAAUAUUAAAAUGACAAUAAUUAAUUAAUUAAUUAAAUUAUUUAAAAAUUGAAAAAAUUAAAAUUACUAGAAAAGGAGAAAGAACUACUUACAGUGUUAAAAUCCUUUCAUCAUCAUAAUCGUCAGGAAUACUACUUAACCUUUUGAGGACAUAAAACAAGAAAAGAAAGAAGCUCAAACCAAUGGCACAAGUAGAAAUGGCAAGCCCUAAGGAAGGUGCAAGAACUGCAUAAGUGCCUGUAACAAAUGCAACCACCAUUGCUCCCAUGGCAAGGAAGAUAAACCGGAAGGCAGUUUUUAUUAACCAGUAGUAUUUUGGUCCAUAUCCUAACAUCACUGUAAUGAAAUAGAUAAAGACAGAAGAAAUAGAAAGAACCAUGGCCAUAGUGUCUGAUAUAACAAAUGCUUUAAAAGCUGAAUUUUUUCUCAAAAUAGGAGUUCCUUUCUCUAAAUCAUUUUCAUUACUUAUAUAACCACCGGGUAAAGUAAACGCUGCUGCAAAAGUUACUGUUGCUAUAAGUGCUGCAGCCACCAAAUGAGAGUCUUUA